GAUGAACGCUGGCGGCGUGCUUAACACAUGCAAGUCGAACGGAAAGGCCCUGCUUUUGUGGGGUGCUCGAGUGGCGAACGGGUGUGUAACACGUGAGUAACCUGCCCUUGACUUUGGGAUAACUUCAGGAAACUGGGGCUAAUACCGGAUAGGAGCUUCUGCUGCAUGGUGGGCGUUGGAAAGUUUCGGCGGUUGGGGAUGUACUCGCGGCUUAUCAGCUUGUUGGUGGGGUAGUGGCUUACCAAGGGUUAGACGGCUAGCCGGCCUGAGAGGGGGAACGGGGACAAUGGGACUAAGGGACGGAGCAGAAGGGAACGGGAGGCAACGGGAGAGAGUAUGACACAGUAAGGGGGAGCGUGAGACGAAGGCGCCGGGAGCGGAAAGACGGCUUACGGGGGAAGAACAGCUGUCGCCUGAGACGAAGCGUGAGUGACGGUAAUGAAUAAAGAAGCACCGGCUAACUACGUG
rnacentral:rRNA from 1 species